GUACUUACCUGGCACGGGACAUCCCAUGAUCACGAAGUUGGUUUUCCCAGGGCGAGGCUUAUCCACUGCACUCCAGAUGUGCUGACUCUUGGGUUUUACCCACAUGUGGGGAGCUCGACUGCAUGAUUUGUGGUUGUGGGGGACUGUGUUCGUGCCCUUCCCUG
rnacentral:snRNA from 1 species